rnacentral:tRNA from 1 species
GGCGGGAAUAGCUCAGUGGUAGAGCACAACCUUGCCAAGGUUGGGGUCGCGAGUUCGAAUCUCGUGCUCGUCGCCA